UACAGAGGGUGCAAGCGUUGCUCGGAUUUACUGGGCGUAAAGCGUACGCAGACGGUCAGGCAAGUCGGGUGUGAAAGCCCCGGGCUCAACCCGGGAACUGCAUUCGAAACUACUUGGCUCGAGUAUGAGAGAGGAAAGCGGAAUUCCUGGUGUAGAGGUGAAAUUCGUAGAUAUCAGGAGGAACACCGGCGGCGAAGGCGGCUUUCUGGCUCAUUACUGACGUUCAGGUACGAAAGCGUGGGUAGCAAACAGG
rnacentral:rRNA from 1 species